UUCAGCGGGAGCCGGGCCUGGGGCGGUGCCGCACUUGCACACGGAGUGUGGGGGGCCAGGCCUGGGACCAGGAGCUGGGGCCGGGCUUCGGCGCAGAGGCAGGAAGAGGAAGCGGCACCCGCUUCGGGGACCCAGCCGGCGGCCAGGCCACCGCGCCCACCCGGCCGAUGGCACCGUGUUCCUGCGCCUCGGGAGGGAGGAGGCUCUGCGCGGGACUGCAGGUUCUGCCCCGCAUCGGAGUGAUCGCUGAGCCUGACGCUCUCGAAGGCUGGGCCUGGGGCCCGCAAUCUACUCCGGAGGCUUUCCCACUGGGCAGGGUCGCUAGCAGGGUGAGAGAAAGCCCCGGGCCAUCCCCGAGUGCCGGGGCCACAGGAAGAAUUUGUGGCGACAUCAUCCCUUCCCCAGGUGCCACCCGGGUGCAGUGAGGACCUGGAGCCCCUGCCCCAGGCUGUGAGGAGACUUGACCAGAGCUGCCUGAAUGCUCCACGGAGCAGGAGGAAGCAUUCCCAUGUGAAAGAUGAGCUCCCUAUAAAAGCAACGCUCUUAUCAUCGAGAACAGAAAGUUGAAGCCAAGAGAGAGCUCCACAAGCUGACCUUGUUAAACUAACCCUUAUCUUCUUAGUCGCUUCUUUACCCAAUUAACUACCCUAGCCGAAGCCCCUUUGCCUUAUUACAUUUUGCAACAGUGUUCGUUGUCCAAUUCAGUAUACAAGUGAGUGACUCUGGAUGCUUUUUGGGGUCUUCGUUUCCUUAUGAGGGCUUCUGUGCCAUGUAAAACUUGUAUUAAAUAAAUUUGUAUGCUUUUCUCCUGUUAAUCUGUCUAUAUCGAUUGAACUUUAGGGUCCAGUCAGAACCCAAAGAGGAUGGAGGUGGAGUUUUGGCUCCUCUACAGCUAUCUGAAUAAUCAAAAUUCAAGAUAUUCCAUGUUCUUUCUGAGUUUCUUUGAAAUUAAAAAUGCAGACAACCACUCAACUAAUACGUCAGCGAGAUACGUUUUCUGUCCUUAUUGCCUUACUGAUGAAAUUGCCUUUAUUCAUAAAAAAUAAAUGUGGGAGUCUUGUUUA
rnacentral:lncRNA from 1 species